rnacentral:lncRNA from 1 species
UUCGGAUAGGCUUUCUUGAGUGGGGAAGAAAGGGAUGGAAUUAGUUAGCACCCAAAAUUGGCCUAUGGAUGUGUGUCUUAUAGGUAAAUCUGUAUCACUGGCUGUAUUUGGGAGGGAGAAAAAAAAACUUCAAAGCAGAGAAUCACUAAUAUGAUGCAACCCCUUCAUUUCUCAGGUGUGAACACUGAGGCCCAGAGAGGUGAUGUGAUUUGCCCUAAGCCAUGCAGCUAGUGGCAGAGCCAGGCCUAGAAGCCAGGUGUCCUGGCUCCCAAGACAUUCCGCUGCCCAAGGAAUGGAACAGGACCAGACACCCAGGAAUAAACUGCCCCACAGAAGACACACGGGGAUGGGCUCUGAGCUACGGCCAGGUGAGGAGGUUCAGACGUGCAGACAGGACGGAGUGUCUGAAGGAGUGAUCCGUUCACGUGGGUAGUCAGACUUCAAGACACCAAGCAGUUUUGUCCCAGAUGAUUUCAACACAGGAGUGUGGGGAGCAAGCCAUGGGAAGUCUGGGGGCAUCUGAGAUCCGGCUAAGUCAGAUAAGGGGUGAGCGUCAGUCAUGGAGCUGAAAGCAGGGCUGUGGUCACUGAGCUGAGAUUUGAGGAACAUUUCCCACCUCUGGGAGGCGCAAACAACAUCCCGAGCAAAGCACUGACCCAAGGACUCAGGCCCAGGAAUGGGGAAGGGAGAUGCCAUCGGAACCAGAGCAUGAAGUAGGGACUUGGUCACAGGAGCCCAGUUAUUAGCUGGACCCUUCAUCAAACCUGGCGUAAUAGCCAUGAACCUUUAAAUCUCUGGGAAUUAAGCCUCCAUCCCACUGAUGCACAGGACAUAGUCUUUAGAGAAUGUGUUGUAUGUCAUAUAUUAUCUGUAGGAUAUAUUAUAUAUAAGAUGAGGGAAAUGGGUAACAUCUCCCUUCCCCCACCCCCACCAGGAUGGAGAGAGAAGGUCAUGUCUCUUGCUUCUUCUGUCAACAGUAAUCCCCACUAGUGCCUCCUUGGUUGCCUUGGCAUGGGAUGGUUCCAGAGAGUCCUUUUUCUUGAAUUAACCCAAGUA